AGAUAUGAAGGCAAUCCAGUUGAGGGAUCUAUUGACCUCAUUGAUUGCUAGAGCUGAUUGGGCUGAUCAGGCUGGGUAGGCAGUGUCCCCUUCCCUCUCACUACUCGAUGUGCAUCCCGCCUAAGGCAGGGCACUACUUGGAAGAGGACAACCUCCCCCAGCCAGAGGAGGACAGGUCUUCCAUCAAGGGUAUGUGAGUAGCUGCACUCCUCUGUCUGAACCUCCAAAUAAGCCCAAAGAAUCAAACUGGGCAAGGACAAAAAUGAGCUUAAUUUAGAAAACUAUUAAAGAUACAUU
rnacentral:snRNA from 1 species